rnacentral:rRNA from 1 species
AUUGAACGCUGGCGGCAGGCCUAACACAUGCAAGUCGAACGGUAGCACAGAGAGCUUACUCUCGGGUGACGAGUGGCGGACGGGUGAGUAAUGUCUGGGAAACUGCCCGAUGGAGGGGGAUAACUACUGGAAACGGUAGCUAAUACCGCAUAACGUCGCAAGACCAAAGGGGGGGAUCUUCGGGCCUCACACCAUCGGAUGUGCCCGGAUGGGAUUAGCUAGUAGGUGGGGUAAUGGCUCACCUAGGCGACGAUCCCUAGCUGGUCUGAGAGGAUGACCAGCCACACUGGAACUGAGACACGGUCCAGACUCCUACGGGAGGCAGCAGUGGGGAAUAUUGCACAAUGGGCGCAGGCCUGAUGCAGCCAUGCCGCGUGUAUGAAGAAGGCCUUCGGGUUGUAAAGUACUUUCAGCGGGGAGGAAGGCGGUGGAGUUAAUAACUUCACCGAUUGACGUUACCCGCAGAAGAAGCACCGGCUAACUCCGUGCCAGCAGCCGCGGUAA